UACGUAGGGUGCGAGCGUUAAUCGGAAUGACUGGGCGUAAAGGGUGCGCAGGCGGUUUUGUAAGACUGUCGUGAAAUCCCCGGGCUUAACCUGGGAAUGGCGAUGGUGACUGCAAGGCUAGAGUUUGGCAGAGGGGGGUAGAAUUCCACGUGUAGCAGUGAAAUGCGUAGAGAUGUGGAGGAACACCGAUGGCGAAGGCAGCCCCCUGGGUCAAGACUGACGCUCAUGCACGAAAGCGUGGGGAGCAAACAGG
rnacentral:rRNA from 1 species